rnacentral:tRNA from 1 species
AUUCUGGUAGCUUAUAUUUAGAGCUUUAUAUUGAAGAUAUAAUGGAAAUUUUUAUUUUAGAAUA